rnacentral:rRNA from 1 species
UGAGUGGCGGACGGGUGAGUAACGCGUGGGCAACCUGGCCUGUACAGGGGGAUAACACUUAGAAAUAGGUGCUAAUACCGCAUAACGGGGGAAGCCGCAUGGCUUUUCCCUGAAAACUCCGGUGGUACAGGAUGGGCCCGCGUCUGAUUAGCCAGUUGGCAGGGUAACGGCCUACCAAAGCGACGAUCAGUGGCCGGCCUGAGAGGGCGGACGGCCACACUGGGACUGAGACACGGCCCAGACUCCUACGGGAGGCAGCAG